rnacentral:snRNA from 1 species
GGAAGUCAGGAUGUAAGGGCAGUCUGGCUACAACAUUAAUUACCAGGGUUGAUUUGGCUGGUCUGGCUGGCUAUGCAGGUAUCCCCUUCUUCCGUCACCACUCCAUGUAUAUGACCAUGCCAGAUAGAAGGAGCAUACUGAAUAUUUUGUAGGUCAAGGGUGUCUGAUAGCAAAUAGGAUGUCAGAAAAAGCAAAAUAGUUAUAAUAAACUACCAUUUCAAUAACCUUCUGUUUACAAGGCAAAUGUUAUAACCAUCUUGCUGUUACAACAUUCAUUGCAGAGGUGGUAUUCAGCAGGUU